GUGCAGGCCUUGAGGGUGAGGGUCUCCUUAACUCUUGUAUCGUCAACAGGCCCUCCUGUGAGACUUCGUUUUCCACAUCUGCACUCCAGAAAGAUGGCCCAGAGCAGAUAUACUACUCAGAUAAGUACUUCGAUGAGCACUAUAAGUAUCCGCAUGUCAUGUUACCCAGAGAACUUUCUAAACAAGUACCCAAAACUCAUCUGAAGAGGAGUGGAGGAGGCCUGGUGUCCAACAGAGUCUUGGCUGGGUUCAUUUCAUGAUCCAUGAGCCAGAACCCCAUAUUCUUCUCUUUAGAUGACCUCUUCCAAAAGAGCAACAAAAAUGAAGUCUAUCUGGGAUCAGAAGUUAAAUCUUGUUCAAAUGUAUGUGUAUAUAUAAAGGUAUUAUUCAGUGAAUACUUGAAAAAAAUUCAUCAAUACCUGUGCAAUGAGUUGUAUUCUUCACAGCAACAGAGCUCAGUUAAAUGUAACUGCAAGUAGGUUAUUGUAUGGUGUUUAAAAUUUCUUCUAGUUGUUUUUUUUCUCAUAAUAUGAGUGCCUGUUAUUUUUGUUAAAUAAAGUUUGUAUGUUGCAUUUAAAAAAUAGAGCAACCGGAUGGGGGCCAGGAGUGUGGCUCAGUGGACAAGCAUGUGUUCCCCAUGCUCUAAGCCCUAGCUUCAAUUCCCAGCACCCAAAUAAAAUAAAAUGAUAUCUUUUUUUACCUUC